CCUACGGGAGGCAGCAGUGGGGAAUAUUGCACAAUGGGGGAAACCCUGAUGCAGCGACGCCGCGUGAGUGAAGAAGGAAUUCGUUAUGUAAAGCUCUAUCAGCAGGGAAGAAAAUGACGGUACCUGAGUAAGAAGCCCCGGCUACCUACGUGCAAGCAUCCGCGGUAAUACGUAGGGGGGCAGCGUUAUCCGGAUUUAAUGGGUGUAAAGGGAGCGUAGACGGCAGUGCAAGUCUGGAGUGAAAGGCGGGGGCUCAACCCCCGGACUGCUCUGGAAACUGUACGGCUUGAGUGCAGGUGAGUUAAGUGGAAUUCCGAGUGUAGCGGUGAAAUGCGUAGAUAUUAGGAGGAACACCAGUGGCGAAGGCGGCUUACUGGACUGUAACUGACGUUGAGGCUCGAAAGCGUGGGGAGCAAACAGGAUUAGAUACCCGAGUAGUC
rnacentral:rRNA from 1 species